ACUUCUUAUGUUAAUGUAAAGCGUUGUUGCAGUAUAUUUAGUAAGUGUAUUGUAGUUGCUGUAGUAGUGGUAGUAGUAACAAUAAAAGUAGUGCUGUACGUUAAUUUGAUUUUUUGGUGUUUUUCCUGUGGUUCCUUUUUUAUUUCGCGCAUAAAUUCUUGAGAAGAAGACGCAGCCUUUUCUAAGACGUUUGUUGUCCUGUUUAUGGAUAAUGUUACUUAACUAUUGCCAACAGAAGUUUUAAGGCCAUCAUACGGUGAUGAUGUUUAAAGACGCGCGGUAAACUUUCUUCGAUAUACCCUAUACACAAAUCGAAACGAUAUAAUUAAAAAUCUUUUUCGACAAUUUAAUAGUUUUUAUAAUAGAUGUAAUGUAAAAUAUAAAUUCAACAAAUCAAGUGCAUUGACGUGAACACACACAUAUAAUAUACAUACAUACAUGUACAAUAGGGUGGUUAAACCAAUUUCGAAUUUCGAGGAGUGCGAUUCGACGUAACGUGACAAUUUAUAUAAAACUACUACUAAAAUUUUGUCAAAUCGUAUAAUGCAAACACGUGCCGCAUCUGCUCUGAAUUUUAAAAAUACCUUUACGGAGAAAAUGUUAUCAUUUAGUUUUUUUUUUAUGAACAAAAUUUUAAUGAAAUGUUUAUUUUUUACUUUAGCUGCCGAAUGAAUGAAUUUCUUAAAAAUUAUAGAAAUAAGAAUUCGUUUAAAAAACCUUUCAUAGAAAACAUAAUGGACCACACGGUUUUAGAAAUAUGUACAUACAUAUUUGUAAUGCAACACCGCUUUAACAUGUCUAAGAAUUUUUGUGUAAUUGGAAUAAUAUUUACUUCAAUAAAUAUUAUCUUAUUAUUAUAGUAUUCUAAAAAGUAUGUAUAUUUCAAUAAAAAUUGUAGGAAAAUAAAUACAAAAAGGAAUUGAUGGAUUGAUGCUACGUUGAUAUUGAUGAAAUAUUUUACGAAUAUAUCAUAUCAAAUAUUUACUUGUUCUGGCUUUUGUACUAGUAAAUAACACGAAUGAAUAGAUACAUAUAUAAAUAAAUAAAAAUGUCUAAAAUUUGUUAAACAUCAUCUUAAAGAGAUUUUGUGGAAUUUUAUGGUAUUUUUAAAUUUCAGAGACGUCUAGGUUAAUAUAUAACAACUUUUAAAAUCUGUUAUGUUUUAUGUGUCAUAAUAGUCACGCACUCCUGGAAAUUUCGUACAAAAUACCUAAAACUUAAAAAUAAUAAAAGUAUAUUAAUUGUAAUAAAAAAAACAAUUUUCACAAAUUAUAUAAUAUAUUUACUGUUUAUUUUGUUGCAUUUUAUUUCCUUCCAACAAAUGUAAACAAACAGCUGAUUACAAUAAUUUUUUGUUACAAAUUGGAGACGACACUUAUUCGUUCGUAAUUCAUAAGGCACGUGAAAUUUUAUGCGUCGAAUCAUAUAAAGUGUGUCAUAAUUUGGGGUUGGAAUAGGAAUGAGAGUGUGCAUUACAAAUAAUUUUAUGCUUGUUGUGAAAUGUUGAAUUUAAAAUGCUGUGAAAUAUAACAUUUAACUCAAUAAGAAAUGGAACGUCAGACAUACAUAUGUGAAAUCCCUGCCAGUAAAUGAAAGUUUAUAUAAAUGUAUCCAAAAGAGCUAUGAUUUAGAAACAUAUUAACUGGAAUCAGCCAAGUAAUUAGCUAUUGGCAAAAAGCUGAACUAAAAUGAAUGCCAGCUUUCGAAACUAAAAGGAAAAUCGCAACAUUUAUAAACAUUGUCAAAUAGUCUACUUAUACAAAUAAAAACAUAAAUAUUCGUAAGAGAAGGUUGCCAGCGGAAAACUCACUAAUUAUAAAAAUAUAUGUAAUUUAGUAUGUGCUGUGAAAUUCCAAAAACAAAUAAAAUAUACCAAAAUAAUUUAAAUUUUUGACUUAUGUGAUAAAUAGUAAUGUAAUGUGGUAACUCUAUAAAAACAAAUUUUCAUAAUAACAUAUUUUUAAUUCAAAUUGUUUUAUAGCAUCUUCCUAAAUUAAAUAAACACAGUUAAUAAACAGCUAUUAUUUUAAAUUUUAGUUCUGCUGUGCCCACAUGCAACUUCAACGUUUACUGAAAUUUAAUAAAAUUGUUGUUAUGUUGUAUAUAAACUUUAAUUCAGUAAGAGCAACUAAAUAAUAACUAAUAAAAAUAAUAACUAAUAAAAAUAUCAAAAAAGAGAAAUUUAAAUCUGUAAAGUGCAGCAAUAAUGAGUAAAUAAUAUAAAAGUGCUAAACAAGAACUUUAUAUUAAAAAGCCUAACCUAGAACGGAAACUUCAAAAAAGGAAACUUCGCCAAUUUUAAAAAUGACGGUCGAAUAU